rnacentral:rRNA from 1 species
AUGAGGGAUAUUGCGCAAUGGGCGAAAGCCUGACGCAGCGACGCCGCGUGGGUGACGAAGUCCUUCGGGAUGUAAAGCCCUUUUGCCGGGGACGAGAAUGGACGGUACCCGGCGAAUAAGCCCCGGCUAACUACGUGCCAGCAGCCGCGGUAAUACGUAGGGGGCGAGCGUUGUCCGGAUUUACUGGGCGUAAAGCGCGUGUAGGCGGCUGGGUAAGUGGGGUGUGAAAGCCCGGGGCUCAACCCCGGGACGCCGUCCCAAACUGCCCGGCUUGAGGACGGAAGAGGGGAGUGGAAUUCCUGGUGUAGCGGUGAAAUGCGUAGAGAUCAGGAGGAACACCCGUGGCGAAGGCGGCUCCCUGGUCCGUCCCUGACGCUGAGACGCGAAAGCGCGGGGAGCGAACGG